CAGUCGCCGCGGUAAUACGUAGGGUGCGAGCGUUAAUCGGAAUUACUGGGCGUAAAGCGUGCGCAGGCGGUUUGUUAAGACAGAUGUGAAAUCCCCGGGCUUAACCUGGGAACUGCAUUUGUGACUGGCCGGCUAGAGUAUGGCAGAGGGAGGUGGAAUUCCACGUGUAGCAGUGAAAUGCGUAGAUAUGUGGAGGAACACCGAUGGCGAAGGCAGCCUCCUGGGCCAAUACUGACGCUCAUGCACGAAAGCGUGGGGAGCAAACAGGAUUAGAUACCCGCGUAGUCCCUGUCUCUUAUAA
rnacentral:rRNA from 1 species